AUUGAACGCUGGCGGCAGGCCUAACACAUGCAAGUCGAGCGGCAGCGGGAAAGUAGCUUGCUACUUUUGCCGGCGAGCGGCGGACGGGUGAGUAAUGCCUGGGAAAUUGCCCAGUCGAGGGGGAUAACAGUUGGAAACGACUGCUAAUACCGCAUACGCCCUACGGGGGAAAGCAGGGGACCUUCGGGCCUUGCGCGAUUGGAUAUGCCCAGGUGGGAUUAGCUAGUUGGUGAGGUAAUGGCUCACCAAGGCGACGAUCCCUAGCUGGUCUGAGAGGAUGAUCAACCACACUGGAACUGAGACACGGUCCAGACUCCUACGGGAGGCAGCAGUGGGGAAUAUUGCACAAUGGGGGAAACCCUGAUGCAGCCAUGCCGCGUGUGUGAAGAAGGCCUUCGGGUUGUAAAGCACUUUCAGCGAGGAGGAAAGGUUGUUGGCUAAUACCCAGCAGCUGUGACGUUACUCGCAGAAGAAGCACCGGCUAACUCUGUGCCAGCCGCCGCAGUAAGAC
rnacentral:rRNA from 1 species